GAUGAAGAACGCAGCGAAAUGCGAUAAGUAAUGUGAAUUGCAGAAUUCAGUGAAUCAUCGAAUCUUUGAACGCACAUUGCGCCCGCCAGUAUUCUGGCGGGCAUGCCUGUUCGAGCGUCAUUACAACCCUCAGGCCCCCGGGCCUGGCGUUGGGGAUCGGCGGAGCCCCCCGUGGGCACACGCCGUCCCCCAAAUGCAGUGGCGGUCCCGCCGCAGCUUCCAUCGCGUAGUAGCUAACACCUCGCGACUGGAGAGCGGCGCGGCCACGCCGUAAAACACCCAACUCUUCUGAAGUUGACCUCGAAUCAGGUAGGAAUACCCGCUGAACUUAAGCAUCUCAAUAAGCGGAGGA
rnacentral:misc_RNA from 1 species